rnacentral:rRNA from 1 species
UACGUAGGGUGCAAGCGUUAAUCGGAAUUACUGGGCGUAAAGCGUGCGCAGGCGGUCUUGCAAGACAGAUGUGAAAUCCCCGGGCUCAACCUGGGAACUGCAUUUGUGACUGCAAGGCUAGAGUACGGCAGAGGGGGAUGGAAUUCCGCGUGUAGCAGUGAAAUGCGUAGAUAUGCGGAGGAACACCGAUGGCGAAGGCAAUCCCCUGGGCCUGUACUGACGCUCAUGCACGAAAGCGUGGGGAGCAAACAGG